rnacentral:tRNA from 1 species
GCCCCCGUAGCCCAACUGGCAGAGGCAGUCGACUUAAAAUCGACAAAGUGCGGGUUCGAAUCCCGUCGGGGGCAC